GCUGGGCAUGGUGGCGGAUGCCUGUAAUCCCAGCUACUUGGGAGGCUGAGGUGGGAGAAUCGCUUGAACCCGGGUGGUGGAGGAUGCAGUGAGCCAAGAUAACGCCACUGCACCCCAGCCUGGGUGACAGAGCAAGACUCCAUCUCAA
ensembl:misc_RNA Metazoa_SRP Metazoan signal recognition particle RNA